rnacentral:sRNA from 2 species
AUCUUAUUGUCCGAAACAGAGUCGAUGGCCAUCUUUUUGAACUCCUUCGCUCGCGCAAUGGCGUCCUCAAACAUCUCAUUUGAUGUCCAUCCAUCGAUGCUGACUCCAAUUGCAUCUCGAAUGAGAGAGAGUUGAGAGUCUGUCUUUUCAUAUUCCUUUUCAAUGCGGAGGGUGUCCUGGGCUUCUGACAGGUCGAAGGUUAUGGGACAUGGAGGUACAACUGCAUCAGUGCCACCACCCCCUUCAGCAUCUGCGCUGGUGACAACCUUAUCCCAGUUUUGCACCAUAUGCACUAAAUCUGCUUUAAGUUGGAUGUUAUUCCCUUCCCAGGGGUCACCCGCAUGGGUAAAUGUUUUGCGUUUCAGAAGAUGACUUCUAUCGUGGUCAAGAGCGUGGAAAUGUGACGGAUUAAAACGUUGCGUAAAUCCAAGAUAAUAAAAAUGUAGGUGACGGCGCCGAAACUGUUCCAAUGCAGUGGAGCGCUCAUGAGCACUCAUUUCAUCAAGUGUCUUAGGUAGUUUGGGUGGGAUGAAGUGAAGUGAUUCUUCAUCAUCAUAGUUCUGGAUAUACUGCGGGAUCCCGGCGGCAAGGAAGAUGGGAAGAGCCGAACAAUAUUGCCAGUCUAUCAGACCAAUGAUGUCCAAGUCCUUGGAAACAAAAAUGUUAUUAGGUUGCAGGUCGGGAUGGCGCAGGAUAGGCCUAUGCAGACUUUUAUCCUUUGGGACGAGGUAAGGUGCUAUCUUUAGAUACUUCUCAAGUGUUGCCAUAUGUUCUUCAGGGACUGAUUUCCGAUAAUUUGUAGCUUCUCGGUAUGCUCGCUCAAAGGGAAAGCGUGGUUUCCCGUAGGAUUGUAACCAUGCUAAUUCCUUCUCUGCAAUAGCUGUGAGAGACUCGGUAGCGUCCAAGUGUGGACCGCGAUUGAUGUUACAAAGCAAGCGCCGUUCCCCAUACCACCACUUCAGAGAUGUAAUUGGGCCAACACAAAUUUCGCCACGACGGGCCGUGACAUCAGAAUCCUGCGACGGACGAAUGAUAAUACCUUUCAUUUCUGGAGGUAAAUCGUGAGAAUAAUAUAGACUACCGGAUGCCGGAAGAUCGAUGGCAAAUAACUUUGCCUCAAGUUGUACCAAUCCCUUGAGGACUUUCAAUCGUUGCUUGUCUGAAAGGGUGUACCAUGACUCUCCGAUCGGAUCCCCAUUAAUUUUCUCCAUAAUGAUGUACUCAGCGCCGACAGGGUUGUCGGGGUUUGUCGAGUAAUCCAAGACUUUAGGUACAGGAAUAUCAUGGGAACGGAUUAGGUCCAAAGUUGCGACCUCGCUCGCAACUGUGAGCCGUUUGGGGACGGUGGAUGGGUAAGGUAGUCGGGCAAGAACUUUCGCGCCAUCAUCCUUCAUUGUGAUUUCAAAGACACGGUUAAAUCCACCCUCUGCAAGCUUUUUGAAGCUCUUGAUAUCAGUUUCAUGUCGGUGGAUGGAGGCAGCCGCAACACGUUUGAGCUCUCGGACACUAAAAACAAGGGCUCUCUCAGGCAGACGAAGUGACUCAUUAUAUCUGUAGAUCAUUUAUAUCGUCAAUAUCAACCUUACCGCUGCAAUUCGGCAUAGUUUUGCUAGCCAUGUGGGAGGCUGAGUAAUAGCCGAGGUAGGGGAUUCCAAAGUUAUUUCGGCGGAAGCACCUAAGAGCGGUUUGGUUGGAAAACAUCGUUAGAAAAGAAGAAAGAAGGAAGAGAAGAAAGAAGGAACAAAAGGAAAGACGCU